AUCUUCCCCUUAUCUGAUCGGAUCCUCGCUUGGACAUGGCGUCGCCCAUGCUCUCCACGGCCAUGGCGCCACUCCAGGUACGUAAUUAAAGCUCGUGUACUGUACGUGUUGUGCUCUGCAAGUAAACUAGACCUGACAAGUUUGUAAUUAGACUGCCAUCAUCUGUUCUGUACAGGGGAGCGGCUUGUUGGAGUUCUCCGGGCUGAGGAGCUCCUCGUCGCUGCCGCUGCGGCGGAAUGCCACCUCGGAGGACUUCAUGUCCGCGGUCUCCUUCAGGACAUACGCGGUACGUGCCUGCUCGAAAUGUGACACUCAUAGCUUAGUUGCAGUGUAGGUGUAUAUAUGAAGCGGCGCCCUACGUGCGUGCGUGCAGGUCGGCACGAGCGGCAGCGGGUCGCGGCGGGCGCCGACGGAGGCGAAGCUGAAGGUGGCGAUCAACGGGUUCGGGCGCAUCGGGCGCAACUUCCUCCGCUGCUGGCACGGGCGCGGCGACAGCUCGCCGCUGGACGUGAUCGCCAUCAACGACACCGGAGGCGUGAAGCAGGCGUCCCACCUGCUCAAGUACGACUCCACGCUGGGCAUCUUCGACGCGGACGUCAAGCCCGUGGGCGACAACGCCAUCUCCGUGGACGGGAAGGUGAUCAAGGUGGUUUCUGACCGGAACCCGUCCAACCUGCCGUGGGGCGAGAUGGGCAUCGACCUCGUCAUCGAGGGCACUGGGGUGUUCGUGGACCGCGACGGCGCCGGCAAGCAUCUCGAGGCCGGCGCCAAGAAGGUGCUCAUCACGGCGCCCGGCAAGGGCGACAUCCCCACCUACGUCGUGGGCGUCAAUGCCGAGCUCUACUCCCACUCCGACACCAUCAUCAGCAACGCCUCCUGCACCACCAACUGCCUCGCCCCCUUCGUCAAGGUCCUCGACCAGAAGUUCGGUAAGUACUUACUCGUAGUAAUAAUAUCUGAAUUCUGAAGUCUGAACUGAACGAAGUUCUUGACGAUUGAUCAAUCAAUGGCGCGCGCGCAGGCAUCAUCAAGGGGACGAUGACGACCACCCACUCGUACACGGGUGACCAGAGGCUGCUGGACGCGAGCCACCGGGACCUGCGCCGGGCCCGUGCGGCCGCGCUCAACAUCGUGCCGACAUCGACCGGCGCGGCCAAGGCCGUGGCGCUGGUGCUGCCGAACCUCAAGGGGAAGCUCAACGGGAUCGCGCUCCGGGUGCCCACCCCGAACGUGUCCGUGGUGGACCUGGUGGUGCAGGUCUCCAAGAAGACCCUGGCCGAGGAAGUGAACGCCGCGUUCCGCGACGCCGCCGCCAACGAGCUCAAGGGCAUCCUCGACGUCUGCGACGAGCCGCUCGUGUCCGUCGACUUCAGGUGCUCCGACGUCUCCUCCACCAUCGACGCCUCGCUCAGCAUGGUCAUGGGCGACGACAUGGUCAAGGUCAUCGCCUGGUACGACAACGAGUGGGGGUACUCGCAGAGGGUCGUCGACCUCGCAGACAUCGUUGCCAACCAAUGGAAGUGAUAUCGAUGAAACGGCAUUGCCCUGUGACUAGCUCCUCUGGAAAUUUUCCCCGGCCGCAUCCUCCUCCGCCGCCUCGGACGAUCGAUUCUUUGUAAUGAGAAUUCGAAGUAUCGAACUCGAUCCCAACAGUUUUUUCUUUUCUUUUCUUUUUUCCUUCUUUCUUUCUCUGAUU
rnacentral:lncRNA from 1 species